GAUACGUGACGAAGGAAAGCAUAGUAUCCCCGGACAUCGCUAUCUCUAUGAGACUGAUGUAGAGAUCUCAUUGGUUGGUGGCAGUUGCAAAAGCCCUGUUGAAAAAUUUUGGAAUGGAAACAGUGCAAUAUAUAUUUUGCAGAAAGCUAUGCACAAUGAAGAAAGUGACUCCAUGGAGGAAUCAAAAGUAGAUGAUGCUGUUGGUGCCUCUGGGGUUUUGCCAAAGGAGAGUCCUGGAGCCCUGGCUCUUUCUGUUGGAAGAGCAAAGCAUUUGAUUUCCUUGUACACAAUGGUGCAAAACCCAAACAUGACCCACCUGGGGAUAAGUGACCUGGUUGUUCUUCCUCCCCUCUGGGCCAGGUGUGAUGGUUCUGACCCUCAGCACACCUGCUGGAUUGGAGCUGAGCCUCUCAAGGCUGGAAACAAAGUCACAGGCCUCAAUAUUUACACGGUUUCAUGUGAUGGUCCUACAGCUGAUAAAACCUGUUUUGCAAACCUGGAGCAGCUCAAAAUGGAACACAAAAUAAGACAUCAUUCAUCCGUUGUGACAACAAAAGGAUUUGCUCAGUAUGAGCUGAUUGCAGCUGCUGCAAUAGAGGACACCAUUUCAGAAUUUGGAAGCAACAUCUGUGUGGAUAUCACGUGGAAUGGUGUGGAAGAGAUUCUGGAGACUCCCCCACUGAUCUCUGCUGCCACCCUGAAUAUUGUCCUGGAGUCGGGGGACCCCAGAAGUCCUGUGUUCCAGCUGUACCGAGAGCUGCAGUUCCUCUUGGUUUUGGCUGAAGGUCUGAAGACGGGUGUGACUGAGUGGCCUGAGCCAUCAGAGUCUGAUUCAGCUCUUAAACUGGUCCAGGAAUUUCUGACUGAUUUAAAGAAGAAACUGGAUGGGGAUUAUACACUUGGAACCAAGAAUGAAACAGAGAAAAUCAAAUGUGACACAGCUGCUGUGGACAGUUGCAUAAAAUCAAUCUUUGGGGAGCGAGGAGACCUGGAUUUUACUGAGCAAUUAUGGUGCAAAAUGAAAGGUGUUAGUUCCUAUCAGGAAUUAAUAGACUGUUUCACACUGGUCAUAAAAUCCCUGGAACGUGGUGAGAUACAGCCAUGGAUUCAUCAAGGGAGCAGCAGUUUUUUAAGUCAAUUGAUCCAGCAGUCCUACCAUGGAAAGAUGGAGGAUGUUUCCCUCAGUGACAUCACUCCCAUUCAGAUGCUCCUGGAGAUUGGCUUGGAGAAGAUGAAGAAGGAUUAUGUCAGUUUUUUCAUAGGCCAGGAACUUGCAACAGCAACCUACUUGGAUUACUUCACCUCCACAUCAGUGGAUCUCCAGGAACAAGUCCACCGUGUUCAAAAGCUUCACCAUAUGCUGGAAAUAAUGGUCAGCUGUACAGGCUUACUGCAGUUCAGACAUGAGAAUCUCUUCCCUUUGACACAGAUUUGCAUGAAGUAUUACAAGGAGAACCCUCUGGAUGAGAAGCAUGUGUUUCAGCUGCCCAUCAGACCAGCUCUUGUGAAGAAAUUCUAUCAAAAUGAUAACCCUGAAGUCUGGAAGGUGGAGAUAAGUAGUGGGCAUGGACAGAAGGAGGUUAAAACAACGUGGCAAGUCAGUACCAAUGCUCCAGUUGAACAUGGGACAUCAGACAAUUCAGGUUUCUUUUCUGACUCUGCAGUAAAUGGAAGCAGUGAAGAAAGGCUGUAUUUUAUUACCAUGACUCAGUGCAGUCAGGUGCAGUUCACUUAAGUUGAUGUUACUGAACAGGCAGGACUGGAAAGAGUUGUGUAAGGUAAGUCUGGUUCCUGUAAACCAAACUGCAGAGAUGUGGUUGAAAUCUGCUUCAGAAGUUGUCACCUUGGAUUACUCACUUCAAACAACUCUCCACACCUAAAUAGCAAGGUAUAUAUUCUCCUAAUUUUUAGACAUGAAUAAGUUCAUAUUUAAGCAGUGCUCUUGGAAUAUUUAAGUCCUUUUAUAUUUUAAAAUCAUGUGUUUGUCUUUCUUCAAAUGGCAAUUACAUGGUAAUCAAAAUGCUGUUGAUGAACAGACUGAAAUCAGAAUUUGCAAGCAAGCUUUUAAUCACUUGAAAUUUGUACUGGCAAGAUUUGAAUCACUUUACUCUUAACUAUAUCUCUGGUGAACAAAAUGUGUAUUAGUUUGCAAAAUAAUUAGGAUUGUAAAAUCUACUGCUUAGAAUCAAUGGAAGAGAAUGUAUUUGGUAAAAAGAUGUUUUGGGAGUUGAAUAGAAAAAUUAUAAAAGCUCUAGGUAGAUUGGUAAAUAAUAUUUCAUUACAGGGGUAUAAAAAGAGGAAUCUGUGGUAAAUUUUAACCACUCAAAUAAAACAGUUGCAGCUCAGUCCUUUUGGCAAAUGAAGAUGUGUGCAAACAUCAAUUUUAGCUGUGAUUUCGAAGGUAGAAUAUGAGGAGGACAAUACUGAUGAGAAUGCAGAGUGUGAAAACUGUAGGAAGAACAAUCUCUGUCACCAUUUCCAUGAACUGCACAGCUGCCUUGGGAAAAUGUAACUACUUCAGCAUUAAAGGCUUUAGUCCUGGAUUUAAAAUAUCUUCACCUUGGCGUUCCAAAUGGGAGCAUUUAGAUUACAGGAUGAAAAAAAAAGCUUGUAGCAGACUACAGACAUUUUAAAUCAGCACUGACCAACAGUCCCAGGAAAAGGAGUCAGGAGAGCAGGAAAUGUUCCGUGGGGUCUGUCCAUGUUUCUGCAGCUGAGGCACUGACCCAGGGCUGUGGAUUCUACAGAGUGCUGCUAGGAGCUCAGUUGGAGUUAGAGGAAUUCCUUGUGGUGGUGUCCUUGUGGAGAAAACAACUCACCCAGUGUGGAUGUUCAGCUCAAGCUACAACUCAUUUCUUUUACUUCAGGAGUCACAUUCAGUUCCUCUCACAAAUAAAGGCACAAAACGAGCUUCGUGCUAAGGGUGGGCCUCCAUUUGAUGUGAGCACUGCAAGCUGCUGCAGGCUACCAGUGAUUGGAAUUUACUUGGAUUAGUCUAAUUGCUGCCUCUGCCAUCAUCUGUUUGCAAUCACAAAGAGGAAGCUUCUGAAGCUUGGGAAUGAGAGAAAAUGAAGUGUCCUGACAACCACAAAACAGCAAGAAAGCUUUUGGAGGUUUUCCCAUCACUGUUUCUGGCCUCUGAAGACAGCACCAGUGAGGAAUAGUGGGAGACAAGCAACACAGACCAGAAAAAGGAAAAGAGAUCCUAAGGGCUGUCAGAACAGCAGCAGCAGUUGGUGUAGAGGACAAACUGCCCUCCAGCCACAAUCCCAUCCUGUGGCUGAUCCAGAGCCUUGGGAAUCAGGCACACGGUGACCUCCAGAGAUGGCUACCAGCAGCAAACCCACAGGACCUGCACUGACACAACACAACAAAAAUCAGUGUAUCAUCAGCCUCUUCCCAGCUCACACAUCAGCUCUCAGAAAUUCCCUCCCACCCUGUUUAGGGAUCUGCUCAAACUGUCCCAUGUUUUUACACCAGAAGCUGUGAAGUGACAGUGCACAGGAGUCAGGAAAUCAUUGAUGGACUCCACACAGAUUUCUGGAGGCAG